rnacentral:rRNA from 1 species
AUUGAACGCUGGCGGCAUGCCUUACACAUGCAAGUCGAACGGUAGCAGGUCUUCGGAUGCCGACGAGUGGCGAACGGGUGAGUAAUACAUCGGAACGUGCCUAGUAGUGGGGGAUAACUACUCGAAAGAGUGGCUAAUACCGCAUGAGAUCUACGGAUGAAAGCAGGGGAUCGCAAGACCUUGUGCUACUAGAGCGGCCGAUGGCAGAUUAGGUAGUUGGUGGGAUAAAAGCUUACCAAGCCGACGAUCUGUAGCUGGUCUGAGAGGACGAUCACCCACACUGCGACUGAGACACGGCCCAGAGUCCGACGGGAGGAAGCAUUGGGGAAUUUUGGACAAUGGGCGCAAGCCUGAUCCAGCAAUGCCGCGUGCAGGAUGAAGGCCUUCGGGUUGUAAACUGCUUUUGUACGGAACGAAAAGCCCCGGGUUAAUACCCUGGGGUCAUGACGGUACCGUAAGAAUAAGCACCGGCUAACUACGUGCCAGCCGCCGCAGUAA